rnacentral:tRNA from 1 species
UAAGGAAGUAGCUCAGCUUGGUAGAGCACUUGGUUUGGGACCAAGGGGUCGCAGGUUCGAAUCCUGUCUUCCCGAU